AGUGGCGGACGGGUGCGUAACGCGUAGGAAUCUGCCUAUUAGUGGGGGACAACUUAGGGAAACUUAAGCUAAUACCGCAUACGCCCUACGGGGGAAAGGAGGGGAUCGCAAGACCUUUCGCUAAUAGAUGAGCCUGCGUAGGAUUAGCUAGUUGGUGAGGUAAAGGCUCACCAAGGCGACGAUCCUUAACUGGUUUGAGAGAAUGAUCAGUCACACUGGAACUGAGACACGGUCCAGACUCCUACGGGAGGCAGCAGUGGGGAAUAUUGGACAAUGGGCGAAAGCCUGAUCCAGCAAUACCGCGUGUGUGAAGAAGGCCUUAGGGUUGUAAAGCACUUUCAAUUGGAAGGAAAAAUUCAUAGCUAAUAUCUAUGAGCUUGACAUUACCUUUAGAAGAAGCACCGGCUAA
rnacentral:rRNA from 1 species